CCUACGGGAGGCAGCAGUGAGGAAUAUUGGUCAAUGGCCGGAAGGCUGAACCAGCCAUGCCGCGUGAAGGUCAGUGCCCUAUGGGCGUUAAACUUCUUUUGUGCGGGAGCAAUAAUGGUCACGUGUGGCCAGACGAGAGUACCGUACGAAUAAGCAUCGGCUAACUCCGUGCCAGCAGCCGCGGUAAUACGGGGGAUGCAAGCGUUAGCCGGAUUUAUUGGGUUUAAGGGGUGCGUAGGCUGUGAGGUAAGUCAGCGGGGAAAUGCCCCCGCUCAACGGGGUGAAGUGCCAUUGAUACUGCCUUGCUGGAAUGCGGAUGCCGUGGGAGGAAUGUGUGGUGUAGCGGUGAAAUGCAUAGAUAUCACACAGAACACCGAUUGCGAAGGCAUCUCACGAAUCCGCGAUUGACGCUGAUGCACGAAAGCGUGGGUAUCAAACAGGAUUAGAUACCCUAGUAGUC
rnacentral:rRNA from 1 species